rnacentral:rRNA from 1 species
AUGGACGCCGGUUCCCAAUCCUCGCAGCUGCACAUCGUGGUCGUCCCGUGGCUCGCGUUCGACCACCUGCUCCCGUACCUGGAGCUCUCCGAGCGGCUCGCCGAGCGCGGCCACCGCGUGUCCUACGUCUCCACGCCGCGCAACCUCGCUCGCCUCCCGACGCUGCGCCCAGCCGCGGCGCCGCGCGUGGACCUCGUGGCGCUCCCGCUGCCCCGCGUCGACGGCCUACCCGACGGCGCCGAGUCCACCAACGACGUCCCCGUCGACCAGCGGGAGCUCCACUUCAAGGCCUUCGACGGCCUCGCCGCACCCUUCGCGGAGUUCAUGGCCGCCGCGUGCGCCGACGACGCUACAAGGCCUCACUGGGUCAUCGCCGACUGCUUCCACCACUGGGUCGCCGCCGCCGCCUUCGAGCACAAGGUCCCAUGCGUGAUACUUCUCCCGACCGCGGCUUUGAUCGCUACCGCGCACCGCGACCAGCCGACGGAAGCGCGGGCUGUGACCCACACCCGCCCUCGUUACGAGGAGGAGGAGGUGGCACCAAUUUACGACGACCAUGGCGCGUCGGGCAUGUCCAUCGUCCAGCGCUUCUACUUGACGAAAGAGAAGUGUGCGCUCGCGGCCAUCAGGAGCUUCGUCGAGUGGGAGCCCGAGUCCUUCCGGCUGGUGCCAACGGUCAUCGGCCUGCCGGUCGUGCCCCUCGGCCUCCUGCCGCCGUCACCAGACGGAGGCCGUCGCGCCGACCCCACCAACGGAUCAGCAGAGCAUGCCACCGUGCGCUGGCUGGACGCGCACCUGCGGGUUCGGUUGUGUACCUAG